ACUGUGGCUCAGUCGGUAGAGCAGCUGAUUCGUAAUCAGCAGGUCGCAGGUUCAAAUCCUGUCAGU
rnacentral:tRNA from 1 species